ACAAAUAUUUAAUAAAAUAACAUAUUAUUAUUAGAAUAUUUUAACUUACAUAUUUUUUUUUAAGUGACGAACCAAUGAUUUUGGUUGCUGUGAAAGAAUCACUUUCGCCAAGUAAAAAUGGUAGAGUAGAAUAACGAAGGUAAGAGGCCUCUCUCCCGCCUGGUAUAGGUGGAAUGUUGGAGGUAUACGAAGGUGUACGAUGAUAAUUUCGAGAAACUUGCAGUAUGAGAGAUGCAGGGGCAGGAGCAGAAUGUAAAUAAAUAUUCCCCGGCACGUAUAACGAGAUGUAAACGAAGGCCGAAGUAAAGGAUACCGAGUAUAUCUGGCGAAUAAAUUGCAAAGUGAGUAUCGCAAAUGCGUUAGGUGUUUAGGGAGUUUUAAUUGGACGUGUCGCAAAUAAAAAAGGGCCGCUAAAUACACGGGCGAAAUUUUAAUUUUUUCGGUUGGGAUAUUCUCGACUGCAUACUUUUCUGCAGCGUCAACGAAAUCUUUGUCUGGUUUACUGUAAAUUUGUGCAACAUUUCAGUAUACGUUUAAAUUAGUAUGUCUCUGCAUAUAAAGAUAUUUCGUUAUUGAAUGCAACAGAUAUUGCGAGACAUCUUUAAUACAAAUCGAAAUAAGCUACAUUACUUUGUUAUUGUCGGCCAUUUGUUAUCCUAUUUUAUUCGUGUAUUCUUUUUGAAGCACUUGCAAGAGCACUACGCGCGCGAAAAGCAUAUUUUGUUACUGUGCACGAUGCCGAUGGCGACGUAAGGCCAUUAACGCGCGCGCGGUCUGCGUUCUUCUCUACUUGUUUCUCGACGUGCCGCUACUCUACCGCCGACUUCUUGCGCGAUCGGGGUAACUAGAAGACAUUAGCGCACUAAUUGCUAUCAGGUAUUCUCAGCGUAGUUAACCGAACAUUUAAAUGUUUCGCAGAAAUCACAAACACCGCCAUAAAUAUUAUUUACGUGAUUGCGAAUUUCUUUUUUGUCCAUAGCUGUGAUGCGACCUACGGCGUUCAUCUGCUGAAUCUACAUAUCUGAUUUUACAACCAUGCAUAUAUCUUUCAUAAGACUUUUAUAAGAGUAGGUUUUUUUGUUGUAUUGUAAAAAUUGAAGACAUUAUGCGACAGUGUUUCGCAAUUUUCUUAUUUUUAAUUUUAAAAUAAAAUUCUCAAGACGUUUAGUAGUCAAGGAAAUAUAAAUUUGUGCGUCCGAAAACUAUAUUUUUUUUAUCAACAAAUUUUUAAAUUAAUUUCGAAAAAGAUGUCUUUCUAAUAGCAUUUUGUUAUUGAACACUUUUAUUGUUCUUUAUUUUUUAACAUUGAGUACCUUAAUAAUUUUUUAAGCCCCUGUUAAAAAUUAGAGAUUAGAUAGAAUCAGUUUAACAGUAUGUGAAUUUGCUUUUUGCAUACGUUAAUUUAUGAAAAUUUUUUCCAAUUUUUAAUCAUAUAUGAUUUAAUUAAAUCACUAUUUAUAUUGACAUUGAAAAAACUUUCGUUCUUCUUAACCUGAUUUUUGACAUCCAAAAUUAAAAAACCUAUUAGUUCUAUCACGUUUUAUAUUCAUGGUAAUAUAUAAGGCAUUCUUUGAAUAUUCUAUUCUAUUACCUUUUUUGAAAAGUAACGUAGCAUAUUAGCAUGCAUGAAACUUAAGACAAACGUCAUUGGUAAGAGGAUGAAAUACAAUUCCUCGGUGCACAAAGUUGCAAGUUUAAAAUUACCGAUUAAGUGUUUUCUCGAGAAUUAACGAGUAACAUAAUAUUAACUUUGAAAAGAGGGGCACUGAGCAGAGCGACAAGGUUAAAGGUUCUGUGAAAGUGAUAGAAGCGUAAAUAUACAUUUUUGUUGAUAAUAUUGACGGAUAAAACCGAGGUGGCCUCGUAAGUCUUUUUAGAAGGUACAAGAAAAUCGAAGUAAUAAGAGCGGUUUAAACUUCAUGAAUUCUUUUAUUAAUCUGCGUGGGGCCGCGCGCAGGAUCGGAUUUAAAAUCUCGAACCACCAGAGUUAAAGCUCCUUCUGUCUUUUAUGAAGAUUUUCUCUCCCUCGUUCUUAUCCGAAGAGGAUGAGGACCAGAAAAUUCGGGAUUUUGGAUAUGAUAUAUACGAGAUGAACGCAUUCAAUCUUCGAUAUUCGGAAUAAUAUGUAAUGCUAUUAAAUGUUUCUACAUUAUUUUGUGAUUAAAGUUUAUUUGAUAAAGUUGACAAUUACAAUAUCAAGCACUAUAAUGUUUAUACGAGAUGAUGCAUAUACUUAUCACAAUUAUUACUAAAGUUUUAACAUUAAGCGAAACUAUUCUUUAUAUAUUUAUUUUAAUUAGCUCUAUAUAUGUAUAAUGUAAUUAACCAUUAAUUUUUAUAUAAUGUUAUACAAAUUUAUAAAAUUAACUUUUUUUUACGACUUUUCUUUUAUUUACUUGAACAUUAAAUCAGUACCGUAUAAUUAGUCAAGUGCUUAACGUAACUGUUUAAGGUAUUAAAGUUGCUCAAUACAUUUUAUUUCAAAGUAAUUAAAAUUUGUUAAUCUCUUUACGUUUUAAAUGUCUACUUUUAAAUGUAUCAUUUGAAAUAAUUUUAAUAGAUAAAUAUCUCUCUGUUAUUUGCAAAAUUCAUAUUUAGGUCGAUGGAUAAGUGCUGCAAAACAUAUAAAGUAGUGAUAGUAAAAUAUUUAUCUCACAAAAAAUAUCCAUUCUGGUCUCAUUAAAUUUCUUCCGUCGUUUUUCCAUGGAUAUUGAUGAUUUCCUGUGGCGUUAAGACUGACUUGAAUCGCGGAUGCUCGCAUCUUUCUUCCUCACCAGCUUUCCUAUAACGUGGGAAUUUUUCGCAUUCUUAUCGUAUCUUUACUUCUCCCUCUCCCUCCCUCUUUCUCUUUCUUAUCGUAUAAAAACCAUACGGUCUGGCGAGCAUGUCUGGUGGGCAGCGGACAGGCGCCAGCGUCCACCCUUUUACGCAGUCCCGGCUGAUGUCCCGUAGUCUUGGCCCGUUCCACCCCCUUCCUUUUCUCCACGGUCGUUAGAGCGAAAACGUUCUCCAUUAACGCCUCCUUUUUUCUCCUUUUGUCAGCUGGCAGACGCGUCCGCGCCAAAGCGAUAUUAAAAACUCCCGCGCGCUGCAAUAAAGCUAACUGCUUCUCGCAUGCAUAGGUACCAGUGCCGUUAUGGGUUGCCGUUUCCGUUCUUCUCUUUUGGACUUCUUAAUACAAAUGGAUCCGGUACGAGAUUUCUAAGUUCCGGAGCGUUGCCGAGAAUUAGGGUCGAUGGCCGCGCUUUGACGCAGGUUUCAGUUGUCUUCUAAUUUCUUUUUACGUCUGUACUGUAGCACCGUAAAGUUGUAAUUGCAUAAAUGUCUAUUUCUGUAAAUGGGAGAGGAGACUGUGCGAACAUUGAAAUCUUGAAAUUACACUUGAGACGUUUAAUGUAUUUACUUUCUUUUUUUGUCAAU